rnacentral:rRNA from 1 species
GAUGAACGCUGGCGGCGUGCCUAAUACAUGCAAGUCGAGCGAACGGACGAGAAGCUGGCGUCUCUGAGGUUGGCAGCGGACGGGUGAUUAACACGUGGAUAACCUACCUAUAAGACUGGGAUAACUUCGGGAAACCGUAUCUAAGACCGGAUGAUAUUUUGAACCUCAUUGUUCAAGAGUUAAAUACGGUCGUUCUUUCACUUAUAGAUGGAUACGCGCUGCAUUAGAUAGUGGUUAAGGUAACUGCUUACCAAGGCAACGAUGGAUACACGACCCGAGAGAGACAUCGGACAGCUUGGCAGUGAGAAACGUCCGCGACUCCUACGGGAGGAAGCAGUCGGGACUCCUACGCAAUGGGGGAAAGCCUGACGUAGCACAGCCGCGUGAGUGCUGAAGGUCUUCGGCUCGUAAAACUAUGUUAUUAGGGAAGAUCUUAUGUGUAAGUACCUGUGAACAUAUUGACGGUACCUAAUCAGAAAGCCCCGGCUAACUACGUG